rnacentral:rRNA from 1 species
AUACGUAGGGGGCGAGCGUUGUCCGGAAUGAUUGGGCGUAAAGGGCGCGUAGGCGGCCCGGUAAGUCUGGAGUGAAAGUCCUGUUUUUAAGAUGGGAAUUGCUUUGGAUACUGUCGGGCUUGAGUGCAGGAGAGGUAAGUGGAAUUCCCAGUGUAGCGGUGAAAUGCGUAGACAUUGGGAGGAACACCAGUGGCGAAGGCGACUUACUGGACUGUAACUGACGCUGAGGCGCGAAAGUGUGGGGAGCAAACAGGAUUAGAUACCCUGGUAGUCCACACUGUAAACGAUGAAUGCUAGGUGUAGCGGGGUAUCGACCCCUUCUGUGCCGCAGUCAACACAAUUAGCAUUCCGCCUGGGGAGUACGGCCGCAAGGUUGAAACUCAAAUGAAUUGGCGGGG